GAGCCCACCUGUGGCGGCAACACGCGCCGCGGCGGUUCCAGGCCUGCCUGCCUCUCGCGGUUUCCCUCGCGCUCUCCGUCUUUUGUGAAGCCACGGCCUUCCGGAGAGGCGGAGAGUCCCAACCCUCCUACCGCCGCGUGCUCUCCGGAUUGUUGUGCUUGCGGAGUCGGUCGCGGCCUCGGCACGACGGCGCCGGCCUCCGAUCCACACCCCGCCGAGCAGUGGCGGAACCACAGGGUAUGCCGUAUAUGCCACGGCAUACCGGCAUACCCUGCCCGGCAAUCCGAUCGAGCCAACGCUUGGAGACGCCGUCUCCGAUUGAAGUAGGGGAGAGCGGGGUGCCGGGGGUCAGUUUGUUGCCGGUCAUCCUCCUCGUCGUCCAACCAGGUGAGUUCCGCAUUUCACAUCAUCCAUGCUCGCCUUUUAAUUUUAUAUGGGAACACUAGGUCAUCGCAUCGUUCACGUUCACUCUCUGAGACUCCGAGACGCGGUUGCUAUGGCCUAUUUGUUGAUUAUUACGGGAAUAUGGCUGAUGAGGUAUUUCCUUCCUUCUGAUGCUGGUUCAUGUGUUCAUUCGUCGGCUUGUUGAGUUGCUGUUGGUGACUUGCAGUGCCUGGUUUACUAAUGAUACUCAGGGGCACCGAUUGGCUUGUUUCACGUAGGAAUGCAGUUUAAAAACUGGAGCACCACCGCGUGGUUGCUUUUGCAGGAUAGUGUGCCAAUCAGGUCAGGACAUAGGCUUCAGCAUUAUUUUCUGAAUCCUGCUCACAACAAUUGAACUGCAGUCUGUGCCAUGACAACUGACAAGUCAUAUGCGUGAGUCAGACGAAGAGUUUGAGACGAGACAAAUUUUCAAAGCAGGACACCUCUACUAAUUAGUUGCAGAAUCAAGUGUGUCUGUUGCACAUGGCUUUGACAAAGCAUUGCAUUUCUAGUUUGCUGUUACAUACCUAGACCCUAGUGAAUAGAGAAGUCACUCCGGUGCUGCUUUAGGAAUAAUGCUAAUUUAUUCAGUCUUGAUAUCUUCUGUAAAAUUCACAGUAAAUUCAUAAACGAAAGGGAAUUUUAUUUGUGAGUAAAGCCGUAAUAGUAUUUGCAUCAGGAGUUCACAAUUGCAGCAUUGCCAUCUUUAGGAAUGUUUAUUUAUUUGAUCAAGAAUGUCAUAGAUUUCUUUUCACAGGGAACAUACAUGAUUCCUAAUAUCUUUAUGGAACCUCUUAUUUCAAUGAUUAUAGCAUAAAUGACGACAAACGUUUCAUUUAGACUGCUACUCGGAUUAUUGGAUAUUCAUGUGUAGAAGUAGUUGUGGGUUGAUAACAAACUAUUGCGUGAUUGAUUUCUUGUUUUAGUUUCAGAUUUGUUUCACAUGGUGCACAGAUGUUCGUUUUUUAGCUGAGUCGCACUAGCCAUAAAAUUGUGUGACACAAGGUACAAUGAAAUUAUGUUUUGGUGAUGACGGUUAAACAUGUAAUUAGAUGUGGUAAUGGAUCACGAUCAAAAUAUUUCUUUACGAUUUGUUUGGGCCCUUAAUUAUUUUUUGUUCGAAAAAUGAAUAGAAAUCGAGCCCGAUCCGAUCCGAAUAUGAUUCAAUCGUUAAAUUUUAUAAUGUAAAAUUUAAGGUCCAUUACCAUCCUACUUGUAAUGCAUAUUGCGUAUUUUGGUAGUUUUUUAUGAAUUCGUUGCAUGGUGUGUACUUGGGGCUAGCUCUUUACACCCGCACCCCACACCAUUUUUGAUAUAAUAAUAUGUUGCAUGCUUCAUUUUUUCCCGUUUUGCCUUAUCGCUCUCUCUAUAUUGAGAUGAGCCAUUAUAAUUCUUGAACGAUUAUUGAUGGUUUUCUGGGCUUGCUUGCACCUCAAAUAGUUCUUGCUGGCUCAUUGUUACCUACUCAUGUUGAUGAAAAAACAAUAAAAAAAACUAUAUGAUAUUGGCUGUGAGGAUCCAAGCCUUAUUUUUUAAACGUAACAGCAAGAGCUCUGCCUUUCAAUUAAGAAUAAGAAUAGAAUUAUGAUUUUCCGAAGGUUUAAGUGUUAAAUAUAAAACAAAAUGAGUGCUUGAUUUUAUCUCUAUGUUACAUAGUAAAAUAAGGUUACUAACUGAUAGUCAAUAUUAAUAUGAGUCUAAUGCAACUGGAAUGGAUUAAUUUGGAGCCAGAAUGAGUUAAAUAUGAAUUUUACAAGUUCUUAGAUUUAUUUUCAUAUACAUUAAUCUAUUUUCGGAUUUAAUUCAUAUUUAUAUCAUAUUGUUGGACUGCGGCCACUAAUACGGGAAGGUGGGGGUCCUUCUGUGAAAAUAUGGACCUAGGUGCUCUAAUCUUUGAACAACCGUGGAUGGCGGGUUAAAUCAAUGAAACCCGAGGGUCUCAUAAGCAAAUUACAUGGUCGCAGGGCUAUGGGUAGCUCUGAUCCGCUUGAUCACAAACGGACGACCCAGAUUAAAUCUAUCAUACCACGAAGUGGUAUGCGACAGGGCCCCUAGGAUUAGAGAUCCACGGUCCAGAUUUAACAUAACUAUACUCGACUCCUGCUCGCCCGAUCACAGAUCUACGACCUAGAAUUAAUCGCGCGAAGGGGUAUGAAAUGACCUGAUCACGACUGCACCUUACUAGAUCUACGGUCAGGGCGUUUUCCCCCCUUCCCCAACGGCGGAGCACGACGGCGCCCAGAGCCACACUGGCGACAUCGCCGGACCCUGCCAAACUACGAUUCCAAGCCAAAAGAUUCCCCCCCGAAGCAUCUACACGAAGCGGAGGUAAGUGCGAAGCUAUAGGAGGAGUUCUCACCAAAAAUCGCCCGCGAAGAAGUUCUGCCCACGGCGUUAGGCGGACCCGCGGGGGCUUGAUGUUUCCGGCGAGGAAUUCCGCGAACCUAGGGCCACAACCGCACGAGUAACAGAUACAGACGGAUUCCCCUUGCGUCUAGGCGUAGUUCUGUGGCUCCUCACAAGCGCUGGUCGGUGAUGGGUGCGAGAAGUAGACGCGGCGGCUCAACUCUCUCUCACAAGCUGCUUGGAUGGCGCGGUGGCGCCCGGUGGCGAUCCUCAGGGUAAUCACAAGGUGGAAGAGCAGAGGAGGGGAGCCCGCGACAGGGUUUUAUGUCCUCGCAGGUCAGUUUGAGGGGGGGUGCUAGCUGGAGCAUGCGGUGGCGCGGAAGUCGGCCACCUACGGUUGCAGAGGGGAAGAUCUACAGGGCUUGGCCCGACAGGUGGGGUCCGCGUGACAGCGGUAAAUGACACAUGAGCGCGCGCGAGUGGAAGACUGAUUGACCGGGCCUGCCUGUCGGCGCCGGUUUGCGUGAGAGCAGUAGCUGGGCCACGCGGGAGGAGGGGCUGUUUUGGGCCGAGGUUGGGUUUUCGGCCUAGGCUGCUUAUUCAUUUCUUUUUCCUUUUUCACUUCUUUUCUUUUCUCUCUUUUCCUAUCCCUUCAUAUUUCAAAUUCAAAACUAGACAUGGGUGCUAAUUUCAAAUAUCCGCAAAAAAAAAUCCAAAAUGAUGCAAAUCAUAUAUUUACUUAUUAUUCUUUUCUUCCAACUGGUAGAAUGCUUCAUCACACAUAAACUUAGUAUAGAGUGAAAUAUACAAUAAUUAAGGAUCCCAUCUUUAUUUAAAAGAAAGAUCAUGCCUCUAUAAUAACACACUAACAUUAUUUCAUGAAUAAUCAUUAUCUUAGAAAUCCCAGUUUGGUGUUUACAUUAACGUCGGCCAUCACCCGAAAGACUGUCUGCUCGUUGAUGUCCUGCAACACUACCCGACCAUCUGCACUCAUCAAAGACGCAACAAUUUGUAUGAUUCCAAACCAUCCAGGUGGUUAGGAUCACCAUGUAGUUGACACAUUUACACGCUUGAGUUUCUAUGCCAGCACUUGUGGAACACGGAAUAAUGCCUCAGCGCCAAGUUCUCCAGGCGAACACUCACGCACGACGUGAGAAGGUGAUGUGUGAUCUCCUCCUGUCCACAACACAAAGCAAGCACUUUGGGAGGGCUCGUGUUGCAAUCCUGUAGGCGAGACAGUCCGUCGUCCAGCAUCUGUUAUGUGAACAUUUUGCACAUCAGUGGAGGCCAAAUGUGGACAUGACCUGUUGAAAGCUGCCCCAGUAUGGACACAAAGUUCUCCAGAACCUGCCAGCCAUAUUCCGUUCUGACACGCGUCAUACAUGAACAUGAUCCCCUGUUUAAGACAAUAUAUCUAUCCUCCGGACAAAUAAACACGGUUGAGUAGUUGAUACCAGCUGAGCCAACUAGGAUCACAAAUCCGUUAGCACUGUAUGUGAGUCCAGUGCAUCACUCGUUCCAAUUAACAAAUCUGCUGUUUUUUUGGCUGGGGUUCAACCACAUGGUCUGGCACUGUAGCACGAGAGCCUUUUCUGGGUGAUGCAAGCCCUUUAAGGCCUUAGUAUAGAUGCUCAUGUAAGAAAAUGGUCCCCAGGGUCCCACAAUUUGGUCUUACAGAUUUGUUAAAUACAAAUAGCAAAAGCCUAGUACCCGAAUGCUUUGUAUUGAUCUGUUGAUUAUUAGUUGUUUAAUCUUGUUGGUUGGGUGGUUAGUUGCCUAUGCAGCUCAGCUCUACAUGAUUCUUGCCCACGGGUAUGUAUUCUUUAAUUCCGCUCCCCCUUCCCGAACCCUCUUGAAUCCAGUUAGAAGAUUAUUAUCUUUUCUCAUAGAGAUUAGGACUUGUUUAAGCAAAGAUGCAUGGGCUAGUGUUAUCUUAUCCGUAGUUGUCAGAUAGAGUAGUAGUUUAAGGCUGGGAAGGGUGAGAUCAGCAGGUACUAAAAAUAUAUUUGAAGCUUGGAACUUUGAGCUUGAUUUGGUUUUAUUUAGCCUGCACGUUGCUUAGGAACUUGGAGCCACAAGGAUUGGUGGCAACUAUCUGAUACGAGCUGAUGCGAUCUUAGCUCUUUGCUCUUUAUUUACUACUGGGAAUAUCUCAUCUUUUCCCGACAAAUUCUUGAGAACAUAUCUAUACAGAGGUCUUCGAGUCCACACUUUCUCUGUUGCUAGUGAUGAUGAUUGUGUUCUUUUUUCUUUCAAAAAGAUAUCUAGCAAAAAAUCUUUCCACUGCGUUCUUUCCUGUGUGACGAUCAUUCUGUUUUCGAAUUAAUACAAGUGUUUCGACUUGUCACGGCUCUUUAGGAUGUUUUCCUUUGGAGUACAAUGAUGUUCCCAGUGCUUGCAAUCACGUGGGUCUGCUCUAUAUGGUUUGGUACACACGUUUAAGGUUAUAUAUAUAUAUGUUUCUUUGUCUUAGCUUAUUGUGGUAUGCAGCAUACCAUCUGUUACAAUUCAAGUUGAGACAAACGGGUCUCAAGUUGAGACAAACGGGUCUCGUAUUGUUGUAGCAAACUGCAAUUUCCCUGGCGUCAUUGUGUCAGUUGAAUAGUUAAUUAGGUCUGAAUUAUCGUUGUCAGUCUCUUAGGUCCGUCCCUUAGGAAGCAAGUCUGGAUUAAACUGGUGGAAAGGAACCUGACACCACAAAUGCUGGAACAGGGAGGGCAGCAAAGGCAAACAGCUCUGAAAUAUCGCAGUAUUGGGUUUAGACACGGAAGCACACCAAACAGCUCUUUGAUUCUUUGAAUAGUUCAGCGCUUUCAGCAUCUUGGGCUAUUAAUAAGACCUGUCAGAAGUGUAGAUGAAAAGACAAAACUAUCAGAACUGACAGGACUGAUCAUUCAGUAGCACCAUGAUGGGCUAAAGUUCAACAACUGUGCAAAAGUCCAAGGUCAGUGCAUUCUGUGUCAUGUAUCUAAACUGAUUUUUUGUUGGGAGAAAUCAUCUCAGCAAUUCACCUGAUUCUGCAGAUGAGAUCAAUACAUUAGGUAGGUAUUAACAUGUGAUCUUUUCACCAUUUUCUAUUAGUUUGGGCAAUUCAAGCUCCAGGUAGCAAAUUGAGCUGGAUAGGUGUAAAACACAGUAAAUAACACCUGCCUGUAGAUAAGGCGGAGCCAGAGCAAUAUCUUGGCCUCAGCAGCCGUUGUUGACAUUUUCGGUUACUAGUCAAACAUGUGAUGAACAGAUGCUUGCAAACUACAAAGUCAUGGUCUAGACUGUGGUGAGAGAGAGCAACACAAUUAGCAAGCUGGCUUUGGCAUAGGGUCUGGCAUGCGCUCAACGUGGUCAAACCGGUCCAAAUCAACUUCAGCAAGCACAUGCCUCAAUGCCUGCAAGCGAGAAAGAAGCACGAUGGCAUAUCUCAACUCCUAAGGGCCAAGGAAGCGCACGAGUUGGCUUGCUUCUCAACACCGCGGCGCUACUGCCUCAGCAUGGGUGAUGGCCCUAUCAUCAUGAAUCGAAAUCCUUGUAAAUCCUUAGGUUCUGGAAGGUAGAGGCGGCGACAGCACUACAGCAGCCAUGUGAGUACGUGACUUGGAGCUCCAGCCCUCCAUUAAUGGAAUCAAUCAGGUCUGGACAAUGACACUCGCUCCAUGCAUGGCAGCAUGGGAUGCAUCUAGAGCCAAGUACAGUUUAAGCUUAAACACCACAGCAUGCAAGUACACCUCCAAUUGAAUGGCAAACAGAGAGAGAGAGAGUGUGUGAAAGGUACGAGUAUUUCAUGCAACCUCGAGUCUCUCUAAUGGCGGUGUCACAGAUAAUAAAAUCUGCAUGCAAGCAUUGUUUUC